rnacentral:rRNA from 1 species
UACGAAGGGGGCUCGCGUUGCUCGGAAUUACUGGGCGUAAAGCGCGCGUAGGCGGCUUUGCAUGUCGGGUGUGAAAUCCCCAGGCUUAACCUGGGAACUGCAUUCGAGACUGCAUUGCUAGAGUAUGGGAGAGGGAAGUGGAAUUUCCGGUGUAGCGGUGAAAUGCGUAGAUAUCUGGAGGAAUACCGGUGGCGAAGGCGGCAUCCUGGACCGGCAUUGACGCUGAUGAGCGAAAGCUAGGGGAGCAAACGGG